UGGCUCUCGCAUCGAUGAAGAACGCAGCGAAAUGUGAUAAGUAAUGUGAAUUGCAGAAUUCAGUGAAUCAUCGAAUCUUUGAACGCACCUUGCGCUCUCUGGUAUUCCGGAGAGCAUGCCUGUUUGAGUGUCAUGAACUCUUCAACCCACCGGUUCCUUGUUGGACCGCCGUGGUGUUUGGAUUUUGAGCGCUGCUGGUCGAAAGACUUUAGCUCGUUCGUAAUACAUUAGCAUCUCAAUUUCGUAAUCGGAUUGACUCAGCGUAAUAGACUAUUCGCUGAGGACACGGGGUAACCUGUGGCCGAACAUGAAUGAGUAUGGAAGCUUCCAAUCCCUCUAGUCACCUUUAGAUUAGACCUCAGAUCAGGCAGGAUUACCCGCUGA
rnacentral:misc_RNA from 1 species